AUAACAUUUAGCGUGACAUUUGAGCAUUUGAAUGAUUUAUAAAUCUUUAAAUUAUGGUAAUAUUAUCUAUUCGUGAUUUCGUCAAAAUAUGUCUAAAAGCUAUAUGACAAUUUUAUUUCAAUCCAGAGAUUUUCUGUUGGGAAACUACCUUUGGAAUUUAAACUGAAGAUGAAUGACUUUAUGAAAAGAUUUGGAAAGAUUCCUCUGGGAAUAUCUAUGGGAGGAUUCUUUUACAUCAAAAAACAUUUUGUAAUAAGGGUGGUAAGUGGACUGUAUUCCAUAUUUUCUUCUUUUAUUCAGAUAAGUGGAAAGAUGGAACAGAAAAAAGUUUGUGAUCCUCUUCAAAUUCUGAAGUUGGAGAAAUUAUAAAUUAAAAAGCUACGAAGAAUAUUUAUAAUGAACAAUGUGAUUUAAUAAUAGGAAAAACAUUUUAUUAUGAAAUUCAUUCCAAUCACUGUUUCUCUUUAGAGUUAACAGUGGCCGAGGGGUUAAUGGAUUAAAAUACUGUAUACUUCAUUUAAAAAGUUCUAUUCAUUUAAUUAAUAUGGCUAAGACUGUCAAGAGUUAUUAUUUCAUUCAUGUAAUAAUGCUUCAUUCAAGAUUUUUUGGCUCCAUCUUACAGUUUGUUAUAAGAAAGUCUGUACAUUGUCCGUAUAUUAUUAAUUAUUAUAAAAUGUGGAUUAGAUUAGACUGUAGUGAUGAGUUUUAUUUAAUAAAAAAUUGUUAAU
rnacentral:lncRNA from 1 species